CAGGCUCUGGCUAAUAUAUCCAGCUGUAGCCAAUCAGGGGUUGCCACAGAGUCAGCACGGGGCGAAUACGGAGUGAGCACGAGGUGCACACGGGUUGGCUAAUUUAGAGAGGGACGUAGCGCAUUGCGGAAGCUGGCGUGGUCUUAUCGUCCCGGGCGGGGUGUGUUGGGCGCUGUUUCUUUUUUCUUUUUUAUCUAUCAGUACCAGGGACUGAACUUGAAACUACCUGCUUCCAAGGCAGGCGCUUAUGCCGCUGAGCUAAAUCCCCAGCCUCAUGACUGUUUCUUGAUCCUCUUUCAGGCUCGGUCCUCUCAGGACAGUUCCUGUGAGCCGCUUGGUGUUUGGAACAAAUUUUAUCUCUGAGUAAUCUUUUCUUCCUCUGUGCCACCACAGUGACACACAGCAACGGCAGAAGAAUGCCUGACAUACGCGACUACUUCAAACAUGUUCAGUGAUGACCUGAGUGAGUGAACUUGUCCCAUUUCCAGUUAUUUCUCAACAGAGAGUCACAGCUGCUGGAACACGGCUCUCUGUGUGGAGACAGCCUGAUGCCUUCCGUACCUUCCCAAGAUCAUUGUGUGAAUAUCAGAGCCACUCAGCCUAUGCUAGAGACGAGUGUGUGCCAUCCAAGUGACUAUCAGUGGUACCCUCAACAAGACAAAGAUCUGGGUAAGGAACAGAGACACCUGUGAAGAGUCUAGAGACCGUCAGUGCAGGGUCAGCAUGAUUGCUGGUAUCUUCUGAAGACCAGAUGGCUGGAGAGGUGUCACCGAGGCACUGCAAAGGACCUUCCAAACCCCCAGAGUCAUUGAGGAAGAUGGCACUGCUUCCAAGAAAUUUCAUGAUGGGUCUCCUGUAAGUGGAAGAUAAACUCUGUCAGCACUGUCCAUUCUCUGAUGACCUCUCAUUAUGCAUUUUGUGGCUAACCUGAAGAUGUUAUAGCUUCUUAUUGGUUAAAAAAAGAAAUAAAAUUUGAAUACUAGAAAUCUUGGCAAUGAGAUUCAAGAAA